GACGAACGCUGGCGGCGUGCCUAAUACAUGCAAGUAGAACGCAGUUGCGAACGGGUGAGUAACGCGUAGGUAACUGCCUCAUAGCGGGGGAUAACUAUUGGAAACGAUAGCUAAUACCGCAUACUGUGAGAUGGACCUGCGUUGUAUUAGCUAGUUGGUGGGGUAAAGGCUCACCAAGGCGACGAUACAUAGCCGACCUGAGAGGGUGGACGGGCAAAAUGGGAAUGAGGAACGGGCCAGGAUCCUACGGGGGGCAGCAGUAGGGGAUCUUCGGCAAUGGGCGGAAAUCUGAACGAGGAACGCCGCGGGAGUGAAGAAGGUUUUCGGGUCGUAAAGGUCUGUUGUUAGAGAAGCGGUAACUAAAGAGAAAGCAACGGCUAACUACGUGCCAGCAGCCGCGGUAAUUC
rnacentral:rRNA from 1 species